rnacentral:tRNA from 1 species
CGCGGGGUGGAGCAGUUCGGCAGCUCGCUGGGCUCAUAACCCAGAGGUCGCAGGUUCAAAUCCUGCCCCCGCUA